rnacentral:tRNA from 1 species
GGAGAGGACAGCUCAGUGGUAGAGCACGUGCUUAGCACGCAUGAGGUCCUGGCUUCAACCCCCAGUACCUCCA